AUGGUUGAGGAGCUUCUUGGAGUUAGGCCACCGGAUCCUAUGCCAGAUAAAAAGGGUUCAAAGACAGGUGGGCUGAAGUUCACUUGGCUUCAACAACACUUUCACGAGCCACCAGACGGAGCUGACGAACCUAAUUUUGAGCGCUAUGCCCGGGCUUAUGUGUUGUACGUCUUCGGAACUGUGCUCUUUGAGGACUCCGGGGGUAGCUCUGCUUCUUGGAUGUUUCUCCCUCUACUACGAGACUGGGACGAGGCAGGGAGGUAUAGUUGGGGCUCAGCGGGCCUGGCUUUCCUAUACCGACAAUUGGAUGAGGCUUGUAGGAGGAGUUCUGGUACGUCCAACAUUGGUGGUUGUGUGUUGCUCUUCCAGAUAUGGAUGUGGGAGAGACUUUCGGUCGGCCGACCCAUAAGCCGGACGCGUCGUGACUGGGAAUAUGAUGAGCCGGAUCGCUUGCCUACUGUCACGCAUUGUUGGGACGAGGUGAGGACCAAUUGGGGGAAGACGGAAGAUCUAUACAUGUCUUACACCAACGAGCUUGAUUGUUUGUUACCUUCACAUGUACAAUGGCUGCCAUACAACCAGAUUGACUUUCAACUUAAUGUCGUAUGCACCCAAGACGAAUCGAUGUGGAGUGUGAGAUGCCCACUCAUUUGCUUCUAUGCUGUGGAGUUCCACCUACCACACCGAGUGGUGAGGCAGUUUGGGAGGCUUCAACUAUCACCACCGGAGACUAUAUCGACGUCUAUUGAGUUGCACAAGUAA
rnacentral:rRNA from 1 species